CUAAGAGUUUGAUCCUGGCUCAGAACGAACGCUGGCGGCGUGCCUAACACAUGCAAGUCGAACGGAUGUAGCAAUACAUUAGUGGCGCACGGGUGAGUAAUGCAUGGGAAUCUGCCCUUUGGUGUGGGAUAACUACGGGAAACUGUAGCUAAAACCGCAUAAGCAAGCGACGUAAGUUGUUUGGAAAAGCCGGGACCGCAAGGCCGGUUGCCAGAGGAUGAGCCCAUGUCCCAUUAGCUUGUUGGCGGGGUAACGGCCCACCAAGGCGAAGAUGGGUAGCUGGUCUGAGAGGACGAUCAGCCACACUGGAACUGAGACACGGUCCAGACUCCUACGGGAGGCAGCAGUGGGGAAUAUUGCGCAAUGGGGGAAACCCUGACGCAGCAACGCCGCGUGAGUGAUGAAGGCCUUCGGGUUGUAAAGCUCUUUCGGCUGGGAAGAAGGGUGCAGGAGUUAAUAAGUCCUGCAUUUGAUGGUACCAGAGUAAGAAGCACCGGCUAACUUCGUGCCAGCAGCCGCGGUAAUACGAAGGGUGCAAGCGUUGUUCGGAAUUACUGGGCGUAAAGGGUUCGUAGGCGGGAAGACAAGUCAAGUGUGAAAUCCCCAGGCUUAACCUGGGACGUGCAUUUGAGACUGUAAUUCUUGAGUUUUAGAGAGGGUGGUGGAAUUGCUGGUGUAGGAGUGACAUCCGUAGAGAUCAGCAGGAACACCGGAGGCGAAGGCGACCACCUGGCUAAAUACUGACGCUGAGGAACGAAAGCGUGGGGAGCAAACAGGAUUAGAUACCCUGGUAGUCCACGCCGUAAACGAUGAUAACUAGGUGUUGGGGGAGUUGACCCCCUCAGUACCGUAGCUCACGCGCUAAGUUAUCCGCCUGGGGAGUACGGCCGCAAGGCUAAAACUCAAAGGAAUUGACGGGGACCCGCACAAGAGGUGGAGUAUGUGGUUUAAUUCGAAGCAACGCGAAGAACCUUACCUGGGUUUGACAUACCGUGAAAAGCGCAGAGAUGCGUAAUAGUAGCAAUACACACGGAUACAGGUGCUGCAUGGCUGUCGUCAGCUCGUGUCGUGAGAUGUUGGGUUAAGUCCCGCAACGAGCGCAACCCUUUCCCUUAUUUGGCAUCAUUAAGUUGGCAACUAUAGGGGUACUGCCGGUGAUAAACCGGAGGAAGGUGGGGAUGACGUCAAGUCCUCAUGGCCCUUACAUCCAGGGCUACACACGUACUACAAUGGCCAAGACAAAGCGAAGCUAGACCGUAAGGUGGAGCCAAACGCAAAAACAUGGUCUCAGUUCGGAUUGUGGUCUGCAACUCGACCACAUGAAGUUGGAAUCUCUAGUAAUCGCAGAUCAGCAGGCUGCGGUGAAUACGUUCCCGGGUCUUGUACACACCGCCCGUCAAACCACGAAAGUUGUAUAAGCCAGAAGCAUGUGGGUUAACCGCAAGGAGACAGCAUGCCAAGGCUUGUGCGAUGAUUGGGGUUAAGUCGUAACAAGGUAGCCGUAGGGGAACCUGCGGCUGGAUCACCUCCUUUCUA
rnacentral:rRNA from 1 species